GAAUACGUCUGGGUAGCUGGUUUGCCGUCUUCUAGAAAACGUCUUUCUAAAAUGGCUAUGCAAUCAGUUGAGAAGGAUAAACCUUCACGCAGGAAGACUCAAAGAGUUCAACUCAGCGUGGUCAAGUGUGGU